UUAUUAAGCAUAGUGUCUUGUACAUUGACCUAAUUGCAAAAUUAAGAUAUAUAAUUAAAAACAUUAACAAAAACUACCUAGAACACUGAAAAAGUAGCAUUUGUUACCUGUCCCCGCUCCCUAACUAUACACUUUACCUUGAAAUAUAAUUAUUAAAAUCCUUCAGAGAUUUAAUUUUUUUUGCAUUGUUGUGUGACUCCAAAUCCCAUCUAUGCUUUGAAAAUAUUUUUUUCAUAAGAAAACCAUAAUAUUUAAGUUAAAAUACACAUUUUAGUUGUGUCCCUAGAUUUUCACUCAGUCUUGUUACCCUACCACAUUACCCCAUCUGAAAAAUUUGGAACAUUCCACAAGUCACAUGUUCAACAGGAAGUUGCAUCAGUUGGAUCUUCUGCAGGCCAUGGGAAGACCAAAAGCAACAUAAUCAAGGGCAGAGAAGAAGACGAAAAAAACUAAAGAAUCUUCAGAAGCAAAUUCAAGAAUUACAGGUUCUGUUGAAGAAACAAAC